AAGAUUGCUCUAUCAGAGUGAGGUAGUAGAUUGUAUAGUUGUGGGGUAGUGAUUUUACCCUGUUCAGGAGAUAACUAUACAAUCUAUUGCCUUCCCUGAGGAGUAGAC
ensembl:miRNA MIRLET7F1 microRNA let-7f-1